UACGAAGGGGGCUAGCGUUGCUCGGAAUCACUGGGCGUAAAGGGUGCGUAGGCUGGGUCUUUAAGUCAGGGGUGAAAUCCUGGAGCUCAACUCCAGAACUGCCUUUGAUACUGAAGAUCUUGAGUUCGGGAGAGGUGAGUGGAAGCUGCGAGUGUAGAGGUGAAAUUCGUAGAUAUUCGCAAGAACACCAGUGGCGAAGG
rnacentral:rRNA from 1 species